AGGACGAACGCUGGCGGCGUGCUUAACACAUGCAAGUCGAGCGGAAAGGCCCUUCGGGGUACUCGAGCGGCGAACGGGUGAGUAACACGUGAGCAACCUGCCCUUAGCUCCGGGAUAGCUCCGGGAAACCGGAAUUAAUACCGGAUACGACCACAGCCGACAUCUGCUGUGGUGGAAAGGAUUCCGGCUAAGGAUGGGCUCGCGGCCUAUCAGCUAGUUGGUGGAGUAACGGCCCACCAAAGCGACGACGGGUA
rnacentral:rRNA from 1 species